rnacentral:rRNA from 1 species
UACGUAGGGUGCGAGCGUUAAUCGGAAUUACUGGGCGUAAAGCGUGCGCAGGCGGUUUUGUAAGCCAGAUGUGAAAUCCCCGGGCUUAACCUGGGAAUGGCAUUUGGGACUGCAAGGCUGGAGUGCGGCAGAGGAGACUGGAAUUCCUGGUGUAGCAGUGAAAUGCGUAGAUAUCAGGAGGAAUACCGAUGGCGAAGGCAGGCCUCUGGGCUGACACUGACGCUCAUGCACGAAAGCGUGGGGAGCAAACAGG